rnacentral:SRP_RNA from 1 species
GGUGGGUCGUCUUGCAUGGUGAUUUCAGGCAACGGGUCAGGGGCGGAAGCCAGCAGCCCACUUGGAAAAGUCAGUGCCAAGUGGUUCGGCUCGCCACC